UACGUAGGGCGCGAGCGUUGUCCGGAAUUAUUGGGCGUAAAGAGCUCGUAGGUGGCUUGUCGCGUCGGGAGUGAAAACACUGGGCUUAACUCAGUGCUUGCUUCCGAUACGGGCAGACUAGAGGUAUGCAGGGGAGAACGGAAUUCCUGGUGUAGCGGUGAAAUGCGCAGAUAUCAGGAGGAACACCGGUGGCGAAGGCGGUUCUCUGGGCAUUACCUGACGCUGAGGAGCGAAAGUGUGGGGAGCGAACAGG
rnacentral:rRNA from 1 species